UGUUUUUCUGGUAUAAACAUGAACCGGACAGAAUUCAGUCCAUCCAUUUGUUUUUCGAGUUUAAGGGCCUUAACGAUUACCAAAUUGGCUGAAAUUUUGCAGAGAUGAUCUACACAAUAUUAUCUAGAUACUAGACGGUGGAGAUGAGGAAAUUCGAUCGAAAAGUGGUGAAAAAAUGAAAAUCCGCACCAAACCAUUGGUGCGGACGUCCGCAGCUGAGAAAAAUCUUAUAUAUAUGGGUCCGGUUCAAAAUACACAAUAUUUGACAUCAUUUUUUACAUUGUUUUUUAUCCCUUAGAUUUUAGUUGAUCAAAUGGUUGUUAUUGUUUGUAAGUAUGAUUUGGCAAAUGACAUGACAAUAAUAUUAUUUUCAUACAAAAAUAUAAAUAAAUUUAGCUAAACAAUUUCUUCUAUAAAGAAAUUCGUUUACAUGAUCGAAGAACUCCAAAAGAAACAUCAUGUUCUUCACCAUGAAAUGAAAAUCAAUGGUGCUUAUAUGGCAAAUAUAUGUGCUUCUCUUCAAAUAAAAAUACUAACUUAAUAUCAAUCUCAGUAUCAUCUAAUCUCUCUCUUCACACAAGUAAAUCAAUCUUCUUAAUUGAUUUCUAUAACUAAUCGGCAAUCUAAUCAAUCGUGUUUUAUAUACCUUUUAGGCAUGAGCAAACCCUAUUGUAUGAACUAAGGAGAUUAGUUGUGGCCAUAAGCAAACCUUGUAGUACGCCCA
rnacentral:lncRNA from 1 species